GACAUAUUCCGGUUGAUCCUGCCGGAGGCCAUUGCUAUCGGAGUCCGAUUUAGCCAUGCUAGUUGCACGAGUUCAGACUCGUAGCAUAUAGCUCAGUAACACGUGGCCAAACUACCCUACAGACCGCGAUAACCUCGGGAAACUGAGGCCAAUAGCGGAUAUAACUCUUAUGCUGGAGUGCCGAGAGUUAGAAACGUUCCGGCGCCGUAGGAUGUGGCUGCGGCCGAUUAGGUAGAUGGUGGGGUAACGGCCCACCAUGCCGAUAAUCGGUACAGGUUGUGAGAGCAAGAGCCUGGAGACGGUAUCUGAGACAAGAUACCGGGCCCUACGGGGCGCAGCAGGCGCGAAACCUUUACACUGCACGACAGUGCGAUAGGGGGACUCCGAGUGUGAGGGCAUAUAGCCCUCGCUUUUCUGUACCGUAAGGUGGUACAGGAACAAGGACUGGGCAAGACCGGUGCCAGCCGCCGCGGUAAUACCGGCAGUCCAAGUGAUGGCCGAUAUUAUUGGGCCUAAAGCGUCCGUAGCUACUUUCC
rnacentral:rRNA from 1 species